UCUUAGCCCUGAUGGAAGCGAUAUCCUUUUAUUUUUUUCUUUAAAAGAAUUAAUAAAAAGCAAAAAUAGGC
rnacentral:misc_RNA from 1 species